AUGGUUUCCUACCUCGUGCACCUAUUGAUUUGUUGCCUCUUCCAUCUUCGGAGAAGGUUAAUUUUGAUGCUAAACAACGUGCUGGAAUUGAUUUUAAAAAUGCAUGAGUUAACUAAGGAAAACAUUGAGCGUAUGAAUGCUAAAUAUAAACUUGCUGGAGAUAAGGGUAGAAAACAUGUUGUGUUUGCACCUGGAGAUCUUGUUUGGUUACAUUUGCGUAAGGAUAGAUUUCCUGAUUUGCGCAAAUCAAAGCUAAUGCCACGUGUUGAUGGUCCCUUUAAGGUGUUAGAGAAAAUAAAUGAUAAUGCAUAUAAACUUGAGCUGCCUGCAGAUUUUGGGGUUAGUCCCACUUUUAACAUUGCAGAUUUGAAGCCUUAUUUGGGUGAGGAAGAUGAGUUUCCGUCGAGGACGACUUCAUUUCAAGAAGGGGAGGAUGAUGAGGACAUCAAUACCAUUGUUACACCCACAGCCCCUACUGCUACAUAUACGGGACCAAUUACUAGAGCUCGCGCACGCUAA
rnacentral:rRNA from 1 species